AUGCCAUGGUGCGGAAAUUCUCUCUACAGGUCUUUAUAUCUUUCUCAUGCGUCAUAGAGUGAUUCACCUUCCUUUUUUUUGAAGGUGUUAAACUCAAGCCUCAGUCU